UUACAUUAGCAACGCUUAUCCUGUUUCUACGGAACGGAUACUCAAAAUGAAAGCAAUAUUUUUCAAAAUAUGAAUUCAUCUGCUUUUAAAAUUUGAAAAAUAAUGAGACUGAAAUAAAGCCCCUCUUGAAAGCAGAGCAAAGUCGUAUGAUUUUAUAAAUGUCUAAAACAACUGGUUAUUUAAUGCUCUGUAGUGGAAUAUGUAUAUUUGGUGCUUUAACAUGCAAAAUUAUGAUUCAGCCUUUUAUACCCAAAGAGCACUACAUCCACAAUUACUUCCCAUCAACUGAGCUUGUUUUAGGCAUACCUGUUGUUCUUGGUGUUUCCUUUUUCAUUGGAUUCGGUAUUUAUAUUUUAAAAGAACUGGCAAAAAAUUUAUGAAAUUAAUCAUAUUCAAUGUUUUUUUUUUUAUUCCUGUAACUAAUAAAAAUGUAUAUUUCUCAUAAAAAAUGUACUGUCUGAAAC